GGCGUCCGAGUUGUAAUUUGUAGAGGAUGCUAUUGGGUUGCCACCGGUCUAAGUUCCUUGGAACAGGACGUCACAGAGGGUGAGAAUCCCGUAUGUGACCGGCCAGGCGCCUUCUGUAUAGCUCCUUCGACGAGUCGGGUUGUUUGGGAAUGCAGCCCUAAAUGGGAGGUAAAUUUCUUCUAAAGCUAAAUACCGGCCAGAGACCGAUAGCGCACAAGUAGAGUGAUCGAAAGAUGAAAAGCACUUUGGAAAGAGAGUUAAAAAGCACGUGAAAUUGUUGAAAGGGAAGCGCUUGCAAUCAGUCUCGACGGCGGCUGUUCGGCCUCUCUUCUGAGUGGUUUAUUCAGUCGCCGCCGGGCCAGCAUCAGUUUUGGCGGUCGGAUAAAGGCGUGGGGAAUGUAGCUCCUCCGGGAGUGUUAUAGCCCCGCGUGCAAUACGGCCCGCCGGGACUGAGGUCCGCGCUUCGGCUAGGAUGCUGGCGAAAUGGUUGUAAGCGGCCCGUCUUGAAACACGGACCAAGGAGUCUAACAUCUACGCGAGUGUUUGGGUGUCAAACCCGUGCGCGCAAUGAAAGUGAACGGAGGUGGGAACCGCAAGGUGCACCAUCGACCGAUCCUGAUGUCUUCGGAUGGAUUUGAGUAAGAGCGUAGCUGUUGGGACCCGAAAGAUGGUGAACUAUGCCUGAAUAGGGUGAAGCCAGAGGAAACUCUGGUGGAGGCUCGCAGCGGUUCUGACG
rnacentral:rRNA from 8 species